rnacentral:piRNA from 1 species
GCCCAGAUGCUCGGACCAUAGAGAGGGCCUA